AUGCCAAUGAGUUUCUCCAUGGAUAAUCAUGGCGAAGGUUGCAACACCGGCGAGUGGACGACGAUGUUGGAGGCAGUAAUUUCUUUUUGCUACAACCGGCCGAAGCAAGAGCUAGAACCACAGUUGAUUUUUGCUGCAUAUAAGCAAGUUGGAACCACAGUUGGUUUUUGCUAUGACCACAUCACCUUCUUUGCUACAAGUGGGCGGCAACGACAAACGAUUGUAACCGAGAGACCAGAGAGCUGCAAACCACGCUCUGAAAAGGCUACGACUAACAACAAAAGCGACCAAGCCUGUUGGAAAAAAGCUUCAACCGGUGUGCACAAAAGUUUCAACCGGCGUGAGAAAAAACUUCAACCUGGUGUGGAGCGAUGA
rnacentral:rRNA from 1 species